rnacentral:tRNA from 1 species
GGCCUGUUGGUCAAGCGGCUAAGACGCAGCCCUCUCACGGCUGAAUCGGGGGUUCGAUUCCCCCACGGGUCACCA